GACGAACCCUGGCGGCGUGCCUAAUACAUGCAAGUCGAGCGAGCGGAACUAACAGAUUUACUUCGGUAAUGACGUUAGGAAAGCGAGCGGCGGAUGGGUGAGUAACACGUGGGGAACCUGCCCCAUAGUCUGGGAUACCACUUGGAAACAGGUGCUAAUACCGGAUAAGAAAGCAGAUCGCAUGAUCAGCUUUUAAAAGGCGGCGUAAGCUGUCGCUAUGGGAUGGCCCCGCGGUGCAUUAGCUAGUUGGUAAGGUAAAGGCUUACCAAGGCGAUGAUGCAUAGCCGAGUUGAGAGACUGAUCGGCCACAUUGGGACUGAGACACGGCCCAAACUCCUACGGGAGGCAGCAGUAGGGAAUCUUCCACAAUGGACGCAAGUCUGAUGGAGCAACGCCGCGUGAGUGAAGAAGGUUUUCGGAUCGUAAAGCUCUGUUGUUGGUGAAGAAGGAUAGAGGUAGUAACUGGCCUUUAUUUGACGGUAAUCGACCAGAAAGUCACGGCUAACUACGUGCCAGCAGCCGCGGUAAUACGUAGGUGGCAAGCGUUGUCCGGAUUUAUUGGGCGUAAAGUGAGCGCAGGCGGAAGAAUAAGUCUGAUGUGAAAGCCCUCGGCUUAACCGAGGAACUGCAUCGGAAACUGUAUUUCUUGAGUGCAGAAGAGGAGAGUGGAACUCCAUGUGUAGCGGUGGAAUGCGUAGAUAUAUGGAAGAACACCAGUGGCGAAGGCGGCUCUCUGGUCUGCAACUGACGCUGAGGCUCGAAAGCAUGGGUAGCGAACAGGAUUAGAUACCCUGGUAGUCCAUGCCGUAAACGAUGAGUGCUAAGUGCUGGGAGGUUUCCGCCUCUCAGUGCUGCAGCCAACGCAUUAAGCACUCCGCCUGGGGAGUACGACCGCAAGGUUGAAACUCAAAGGAAUUGACGGGGGCCCGCACAAGCGGUGGAGCAUGUGGUUUAAUUCGAAGCAACGCGAAGAACCUUACCAGGUCUUGACAUCUAGUGCCAUUUGUAGAGAUACAAAGUUCCCUUCGGGGACGCUAAGACAGGUGGUGCAUGGCUGUCGUCAGCUCGUGUCGUGAGAUGUUGGGUUAAGUCCCGCAACGAGCGCAACCCUUGUUAUUAGUUGCCAGCAUUAAGUUGGGCACUCUAAUGAGACUGCCGGUGACAAACCGGAGGAAGGUGGGGAUGACGUCAAGUCAUCAUGCCCCUUAUGACCUGGGCUACACACGUGCUACAAUGGGCAGUACAACGAGAAGCGAGCCUGCGAAGGCAAGCGAAUCUCUGAAAGCUGUUCUCAGUUCGGACUGCAGUCUGCAACUCGACUGCACGAAGCUGGAAUCGCUAGUAAUCGCGGAUCAGCACGCCGCGGUGAAUACGUUCCCGGGCCU
rnacentral:rRNA from 1 species